AGAGUUUGAUCCUGGCUCAGGAUGAACGCUGGCGGCGUGCCUAAUACAUGCAAGUCGAGCGAACGGACGAGAAGCUUGCUUCUCUGAUGUUAGCGGCGGACGGGUGAGUAACACGUGGAUAACCUACCUAUAAGACUGGGAUAACUUCGGGAAACCGGAGCUAAUACCGGAUAAUAUUUUGAACCGCAUGGUUCAAAAGUGAAAGACGGUCUUGCUGUCACUUAUAGAUGGAUCCGCGCUGCAUUAGCUAGUUGGUAAGGUAACGGCUUACCAAGGCAACGAUGCAUAGCCGACCUGAGAGGGUGAUCGGCCACACUGGAACUGAGACACGGUCCAGACUCCUACGGGAGGCAGCAGUAGGGAAUCUUCCGCAAUGGGCGAAAGCCUGACGGAGCAACGCCGCGUGAGUGAUGAAGGUCUUCGGAUCGUAAAACUCUGUUAUUAGGGAAGAACAUAUGUGUAAGUAACUGUGCACAUCUUGACGGUACCUAAUCAGAAAGCCACGGCUAACUACGUGCCAGCAGCCGCGGUAAUACGUAGGUGGCAAGCGUUAUCCGGAAUUAUUGGGCGUAAAGCGCGCGUAGGCGGUUUUUUAAGUCUGAUGUGAAAGCCCACGGCUCAACCGUGGAGGGUCAUUGGAAACUGGAAAACUUGAGUGCAGAAGAGGAAAGUGGAAUUCCAUGUGUAGCGGUGAAAUGCGCAGAGAUAUGGAGGAACACCAGUGGCGAAGGCGACUUUCUGGUCUGUAACUGACGCUGAUGUGCGAAAGCGUGGAGAUCAAACAGGAUUAGAUACCCUGGUAG
rnacentral:rRNA from 1 species